rnacentral:rRNA from 1 species
GAUGAACGCUGGCGGCAUGCCUAAUACAUGCAAGUCGAGCGAACAGAUGAAGUGCUUGCACUUCUGACGUUAGCGGCGAACGGGUGAGUAACACGUAAGGAAUCUACCUAUAAGCGGGGGAUAACAUUCGGAAACGGGUGCUAAUACCGCAUAAUAUCUUCUUCCGCAUGGAAGAAGAGUGAAAGAAGGCUAUGCUGUCACUUAUAGAUGACCUUGCGGUGCAUUAGUUAGUUGGUGGGGUAAUGGCCUACCAAGACGAUGAUGCAUAGCCGACCUGAGGGGGUGAUCGGCCACGUUGGGACUGAGACACGGCCCAAACUCCUACGGGAGGCAGCGGUAGGGAAUCUUCCGCAAUGGGCGAAAGCCUGACGGAGCAAUGCCGCGUGAGUGAAGAAGGCCUUCGGGUCGUAAAACUCUGUUAUAAGAGAAGAACAAAUUGUAGAGUAACUGCUACAGUCUUGACGGUAUCUUAUCAGAAAGCCACGGCUAACUACGUGCCAGCCGCCGCCGUAA